rnacentral:rRNA from 1 species
AUUGAACGCUGGCGGCAGGCCUAACACAUGCAAGUCGAGCGGAUGAAGGGAGCUUGCUCCUGGAUUCAGCGGCGGACGGGUGAGUAAUGCCUAGGAAUCUGCCUGGUAGUGGGGGAUAACGUCCGGAAACGGGCGCUAAUACCGCAUACGUCCUGAGGGAGAAAGUGGGGGAUCUUCGGACCUCACGCUAUCAGAUGAGCCUAGGUCGGAUUAGCUAGUUGGUGGGGUAAAGGCCUACCAAGGCGACGAUCCGUAACUGGUCUGAGAGGAUGAUCAGUCACACUGGAACUGAGACAGGGUCCAGACUCCUACGGGAGGCAGCAGUGGGGAAUAUUGGACAAUGGGCGAAAGCAUGACCCAGCCAUGCCGCGUGUGUGAAGAAGGUCUUCGGAGUGUAAAGCACUUUAAGUGGGGAGGAAGGGCAGUAAGUUAAUACCUUGCUGUUUUGACGUUACCAACAGAAUAAGCACCGGCUAACUUCGUG